AUUGAACGCUGGCGGCAGGCCUAACACAUGCAAGUCGAGCGGCAGCGGGAAAGUAGCUUGCUACUUUUGCCGGCGAGCGGCGGACGGGUGAGUAAUGCCUGGGAAAUUGCCCAGUCGAGGGGGAUAACAGUUGGAAACGACUGCUAAUACCGCAUACGCCCUACGGGGGAAAGCAGGGGACCUUCGGGCCUUGCGCGAUUGGAUAUGCCCAGGUGGGAUUAGCUAGUUGGUGAGGUAAUGGCUCACCAAGGCGACGAUCCCUAGCUGGUCUGAGAGGAUGAUCACCCACACUGGACCUGAGACCCGGUCCAGACUCCUACGGGAGGCAGCAGUGGGGAAUAUUGCACAAUGGGGGAAACCCUGAUGCAGCCAUGCCGCGUGUGUGAAGAAGGCCUUCGGGUUGUAAAGCACUUUCAGCGAGGAGGAAAGGUUGAUGCCUAAUACGUAUCAACUGUGACGUUACUCGCAGAAGAAGCACCGGCUAACUCCGUGCCAGCAGCCGCCGUAA
rnacentral:rRNA from 1 species